AGUAGUGCACUAUAUAGGGAAUAGAGUGCCAGUGGGGACACAACCGUGUGUCUGUAGCUGCCAUUCUGACCUCUCCAUCUCCUCUUAGACAACCUACAGGGGUGUCAAAAACCCCCAAGCAGUUGAGAGAAAUAAAAAGAAUAAGGAGAUGGAGAAACAAGAGAUGAGACCGUCUCCACCUGGAGGAGGAGGAGGAGGGCUGAAGGUAGGCUAAAGAUGGACAUGGAGAGAUCCUGGAAGUCUCAAUCUAGACUGAGGUUCAGCUAACAACAUGAAGAGUGUUGGUACCAGUUGACUUGAAAAGGCUUUUUUUGGGUGUUGGCCCUUCUACUACAUUUUUUAAUAUUU